AGCAGCCGCGGUAAUUCCAGCUCCAAUAGCGUAUAUUAAAGUUGUUGCAGUUAAAAAGCUCGUAGUUGAAUUUCGGGGUUAGUAGGUUGGUCAUGCCUCUGGUAUGUACUGGUCUCACUGAUUCCUCCUUCCUGAUGAACCUUAAUGCCAUUAAUUUGGUGUUUUGGGGAAUUUGGACUGUUACUUUGAAAAAAUUAGAGUGUUUAAAGCAAGCUAACGCUUGAAUACAUUAGCAUGGAAUAAUGAAAUAGGACGUUCGAUCCUAUUUUGUUGGUUUCUAGGAUGACGUAAUGAUUAAUAGGGAUAGUUGGGGGCAUUAGUAUUCAAUUGUCAUAGGUGAAAUUCUUGGAUUUAUUGAAGACUAACUACUGCGAAAGCAUUUGCCAAGGAUGUUUUCAUUAAUCAAGAACGAAAGUUAGGGGAUCGAAGACGAUCAGAUACCGUCGUAGUCUUAACCAUAAACUAUGCCGACUAGGGAUCGGAUGAUGUUAAUUUUUUAAUGACUCA
rnacentral:rRNA from 1 species